AAACCAAACUUUUUUGUUUCAUCAAUAUUUAGUACUGCUGAAAAUUACAUGUUUAAAAAAAACUGAUCAUAGCUUUGAGCAAAUGUCAAUACAACAGGAAAAAAGCUUUAUCUUAAUAUUUCCCCUUUUUAAGCAAAAAGGAACCCCAUUUAAGCUAUUUUUUUAAAGCAAAGAAACUCAACCUUCUUAUAAACAUUUUCUGACAAAGCACUGUUGCUUUUUCUGUCUCAUCUUUCACUUUCAUAUAAAACUAUAAU